UACGAGGGGGGCAAGCGUUGUUCGGAUUUAUUGGGCGUAAAGGGUGCGUAGGCGGUCUGGCAAGUCUUGUGUGAAAUCUUCGGGCUCAACCCGAAGUCUGCACAAGAAACUGCCGGGCUUGAGUAUGGGAGAGGUGAGUGGAAUUUCCGGUGUAGCGGUGAAAUGCGUAGAGAUGCGGAGGAACACCGAUGGCGAAGGCAGCCCCCUGGGCUAGCACUGACGCUCAGGCACGAAAGCGUGGGGAGCAAACAGG
rnacentral:rRNA from 1 species